rnacentral:rRNA from 1 species
UACCAAGAUUCGCAGUACAGUGGUAUUGUUCUUUACCAACCGAGUGGAGAUGUGUGGGGUUUAGGCCCAGGGGUAUUAUUGGUGUUUAUGCACUGGUGAUUACCCUGAGCAGUAUUGUUUUAAAAUGGAUUGAACGAGAGAGUUUGAUCCUGGCUCAGAUUGAACGCUGGCGGCAUGCCUAACACAUGCAAGUCGAACGGUAGCAGGCCUUCGGGUGCUGACGAGUGGCGGACGGGUGAGUAAUGCGUAGGAAUCUGUCUUUUAGUGGGGACAACCCAGGGAAACUUGGGCUAAUACCGCAUGAGCCCUGAGGGGAAAGCGGGGGAUCUUCGGACC